rnacentral:rRNA from 1 species
UACGUAGGGGCAAGCGUUGUCCGGAAUCAUUGGGCGUAAAGAGCGUGUAGGCGGCCGGGUAAGUCCGGUGUGAAAACUCGAGGCUUAACCUCGAGAUGUCAUCGGAAACUAUUCGGCUAGAGUCCGGAAGAGGAGAGUGGAAUUCCUGGUGUAGCGGUGAAAUGCGCAGAUAUCAGGAAGAACACCAAUGGCGAAGGCAGCUCUCUGGGACGGUACUGACGCUGAGACGCGAAAGCGUGGGGAGCGAACAGG